GGCUGCGCGGGAGGCGGGAAGAGGGCGGCGGCGGCUGAGGCGGCGGCUGAGGCGGCGGGAGCGGGGCCGGCGACUCCCCCUCCGCUGCCCUCGGCGGGGCCGGGGAGGGCUCAGCGCUCGCACAACCUGCCCCUCGCCGGGGAAGGAGCCCGCCGGCGGGGCUCGACAGCCGCCGCUGAGGCGAAGGCCGAGCCGGCAGCGCUCAGAGUGCCGCGGGCGGCCUCCCUAGGCGGGAGGCUGCGCUGCGGUUCAGGUCAGGGCCGAGGGGUAUUAUGCCCACGUUAAUGUAUCCGCGCUGAGAAUAUCUGGCAUUCCGAAGGAAACAGCUGCUGACAACUGGCAACCUUCCCUCCCGUGUCCUUGGGCCGUCACUGCUGCCACGGGCUCUGGCUGCUGGGGAGUGCUCCCGGUUACCCAGGCUUGCCUCAGCCUGCUGUGGGAGAAAAGCACCAUCUCCCGUGCUUCAUACCAUGAAAGAAGGAGCCAGAUCCUCAGUCCACUGCGAAAAUCUGCUGUGAUGACCUGUACGGAUUCCUCUCAGAUUGCUGUGUAAAGUGGCAAGGGGGAUCCAGGAGCGUCUCAGUUUGAGGCUUAGUUAUGCAACUGUAUAGAUGACAGUGUAUAUUCUUUAUGCUGCUGCGUGCCAGAGGUGUAAACAAACUGCAGAGCAAUGGAAUUGGUGAGAUGAGCCAAUUCCCCUUGUGUGCCAAGAGAACAGAAGCCCUGGGCUGCUUCCCCGGUCAUGAAAGGUCAAGGCAUGACCCUAACUCGUGCGUCUCCUCCGGUGUUCCUUCUGUGAGUCCUCUUGUGAGCCCAGGAGAAACAGGCUGCUAAUGCUGUUCUGAACAAAACCUCACCCAGUCCCUUCACUAUUGAUCCAUUUUCCUUGUUUGUGUGGCUAUUUCAUUCACCGAGGUAAGGGGAAAGAGAAGGAAAAGACCCAGAGUGACACACGACUGUGAAACAAGAAGUUAUCUGAGAAUGAUGGGACCUGGACAAGUUGUCUUCCUCAAAAGGAGGAGUCCUGUCCUUAUGUCAGUCCUUGUAGGAGCAGUAUCAUCUUCUAAAGUAACUGUGUUAGGUUCCGAGCUUCCACAUUUCCCUGCAGGAGCUCCUUCUUUAGCACUAGUUCUGCAAGUAUUUACUUACAAUAGUGGAAUGAAUGAUUUAAAAAAAAUGAUGUGUCAAAUUCCAGGUAAAAUAGAUUUUUUUAUUAAUGUUUUCAGGGGAAACAACCUACAAGUUGCCAGGAAGAUUAGCUCUGCUGUGAUAAAAGCACUACCUUUCUGGGUGACCUCUUUCUUUACCCAAUUUGCAUCCUGUCCUCUCAUGCUAAGUGGCUAUGAUGAAUUCUAGGCAGAGAUGGGAACUAUGAAGUGUGAUUUCUGUGCCUGCUGUCUUCAGAGUGACAGCACAGCUGCUUCUCGCACAGCUAUUUACAAUUCUAAUACAGAAUUCUAAAUAAUUAUAGGGGG